GCUUCGGUAACCUAGUGGUUAUGUUGUCCGUCUUUGAUGCGGAAGGCCGUGGGUUCGAUCCCAGCUAGAAUCA